rnacentral:rRNA from 1 species
UACGAAGGGUGCAAGCGUUACUCGGAAUUACUGGGCGUAAAGGGUGCGUAGGUGGUUUGUUAAGUCUGCUGUGAAAUCCCCGGGCUCAACCUGGGAAUGGCAGUGGAUACUGGCAAGCUAGAGUGCGGUAGAGGGUAGUGGAAUUCCCGGUGUAGCAGUGAAAUGCGUAGAGAUCGGGAGGAACACCAGUGGCGAAGGCGGCUACCUGGACCAGCACUGACACUGAAGCACGAAAGCGUGGGGAGCAAACAGGA